AACGAACGCUGGCGGCAUGCCUAACACAUGCAAGUCGAACGAUUGCCUUCGGGUGAUAGUGGCGCACGGGUGCGUAACGCGUGGGAAUCUGCCCUUUGGUUCGGAAUAACAGCUGGAAACGGCUGCUAAUACCGGAUGAUAUCGCGAGAUCAAAGAUUUAUCGCCUGAGGAUGAGCCCGCGUUGGAUUAGGUAGUUGGUGGGGUAAAGGCCUACCAAGCCGACGAUCCAUAGCUGGUCUGAGAGGAUGAUCAGCCACACUGGGACUGAGACACGGCCCAGACUCCUACGGGAGGCAGCAGUGGGGAAUAUUGGACAAUGGGCGCAAGCCUGAUCCAGCAAUGCCGCGUGAGUGAUGAAGGCCCUAGGGUUGUAAAGCUCUUUUACCCGGGAAGAUAAUGACUGUACCGGGAGAAUAAGCCCCGGCUAACUCCGUG
rnacentral:rRNA from 1 species